rnacentral:rRNA from 1 species
UGGGGAAUAUUGGGCAAUGGGCGCAAGCCUGACCCAGCAACGCCGCGUGAAGGAAGAAGGCUUUCGGGUUGUAAACUUCUUUGACAGGGGAAGAUAAUGACGGUACCCUGAAAACAAGCUCCGGCUAACUACGUGCCAGCAGCCGCGGUGAUACGUAGGGAGCAAGCGUUAUCCGGAAUUACUGGGUGUAAAGGGCGCGUAGGCGGGUCUACAAGUCAGAUGUGAAAUGCCGGGGCUUAACCUCGGAGCUGCAUUUGAAACUGUAGGUCUUGAGUGAUGGAGAGGCAGGCGGAAUUCCCGGUGUAGCGGUGGAAUGCGUAGAUAUCGGGAGGAACGCCAGUGGCGAAGGCGGCCUGCUGGACAUUAACUGACGCUGAGGCGCGAAAGCGUGGGGAGCAAACAGGAUUAGAUACC